rnacentral:rRNA from 1 species
UACAGAGGGGGCAAGCGUUGUUCGGAAUUAUUGGGCGUAAAGCGCACGUAGGCGGCUCCGCAAGUCGGAUGUGAAAUCCCUCGGCUCAACCAAGGAAGUGCAUCCGAAACUGCAGAGCUUGAGUACCAAAGAGGAUCGCGGAAUUCCCGGUGUAGAGGUGAAAUUCGUAGAUAUCGGGAGGAACACCAGUGGCGAAGGCGGCGAUCUGGGUGGAUACUGACGCUGAGGUGCGAAAGCGUGGGGAGCAAACAGG